ACACCGUUGGUGAAGUGGUUAUCAUGCUUGCCUUCCAUCCACAGUAGAAGCAAGCGGCUCGGGUUCGAUUCCCGAACGGUGUA